GCCGGUGUGGCUCAGUGGAUAGAGCGUUGGCCUGCGGACUGAAAGGCCUCAGGUUCAAAUCCGGUCAAGGGCA
rnacentral:tRNA from 1 species